UUUAGGAGAAGUCUUAUUGUGAGGGCGAGUUAUAUAACACCAUAGGACUGGCCGUCCCAUAUGAAAAGAUUAUAUUAGAAUUGAAUGAAGCUUUGUUUAUAUAUUGAUAAUGACAGUAUAUAUAUCGUGUCUUGACUAAUUGCGUGCCAGCAGUCGCGGUAAUACGUAAGAGACUAGUGUUAUUCAUCUUAAUUAGGUUUAAAGGGUACCCAGACGGUCAAUAUAGCUUAUAAAAUGUUAGUACUUGACUAGAGUUUUAUGUAAGAGGGCAGUACUUGAGGAGGAGAGAUGAAAUUUCGUGAUACCAAAGGGACUCUGUAAAGGCGAAGGCAGCCCUCUAUGUAAAAACUGACGUUGAAGGACGAAGGCACAGAGAACAAACAGGAUUAGAUACCCAAGUAGUCUUUGCAGUAAAUGAUGAAUGCCAUAGGUUAGAUUGGUCAAUUAUAGUCUAGGGUUAGUCUAGCAAACUAAUACCCUAUGCUAUAAUCCUAAUAUCUGGUCUAUAAAUGAAAGUGUAAGCAUUUCACCUCAAGAGUAA
rnacentral:rRNA from 1 species